UCUAAUAUGGCAGAUUAGUGCGCUGGAUUUAAAUCCCAACUAUAAAGAUUUUUCUUUUCUUAGAA
rnacentral:tRNA from 1 species